rnacentral:rRNA from 1 species
AUUGAACGCUGGCGGCAUGCCUUACACAUGCAAGUCGAACGGUAACAGGUCUUCGGAUGCUGACGAGUGGCGAACGGGUGAGUAAUACAUCGGGACGUGCCUAGUAGUGGGGGAUAACUACUCGAAAGAGUGGCUAAUACCGCAUGAGAUCUACGGAUGAAAGCAGGGGAUCGCAAGACCUUGUGCUACUAGAGCGGCCGAUGGCAGAUUAGGUAGUUGGUGGGAUAAAAGCUUACCAAGCCGACGAUCUGUAGCUGGUCUGAGAGGACGAUCAGCCACACUGGGACUGAGACACGGCCCAGACUCCUACGGGAGGCAGCAGUGGGGAAUUUUGGACAAUGGGCGCAAGCCUGAUCCAGCAAUGCCGCGUGCAGGAUGAAGGCCUUCGGGUUGUAAACUGUUUUUGUACGGAACGAAAAGCCCUGGGUUAAUACCCUGGGGUCAUGACGGUACCGUAAGAAUAAGCACCGGUUAACUACGCGCCAGCCGCCGCGGUAA